CACGUAGGGGGCGAGCGUUGUCCGGAUUUAUUGGGCGUAAAGAGCUCGUAGGCGGCUCAGUAAGUCAGGUGUGAAAACUCCAGGCUCAACCUGGAGACGCCACUUGAUACUGCUGUGGCUAGAGUCCGGUAGGGGAGCAUGGAAUUCCUGGUGUAGCGGUGAAAUGCGCAGAUAUCAGGAGGAACACCAAUUGCGAAGGCAGCUCGCUGGAACGUAACUGACGCUGAGACGCGAAAGCGUGGGGAGCAAACAGG
rnacentral:rRNA from 1 species